UUAAAUUUAAGAGAUGUAUGCUUACUUCUUUAUAACAUACAAGACAAAUCUGCUAUAGCUAGAGAACCGUGAAUAUACUUCUAUAAUUGAGACUUUAAGUUUCUAUUGCAAAGAGUUAAAACGAGAAAUAAGAAUACCUGCAACUGGAAGCAAUAGAGUGGAUAUCUCAGCCUCAACAUAAGCUGCAUCAUCAACAAAGAAGAGAAACAUAUUGAGGUGAAUAUCUCAGCAUCAACAUAAGUAGACAAUUGAAGUUACAGCAAGUACCCAGUAUCAUAUCACAUAGAGAAACGAUUAGAACACCUAAUAGAGACGAAGCAAGCAUAGAUAUGCAUCCAGGCUAAACGUUU
rnacentral:lncRNA from 1 species